rnacentral:rRNA from 1 species
GAUGAACGCUGGCGGCGUGCCUAAUACAUGCGAGUCGAGCGAACAGAUGAGGAGCUUGCUCCUCUGACGUUAGCGGCGGACGGGUGAGUAACACGUGGGUAACCUACCUAUAAGACUGGGAUAACUUCGGGAAACCGGAGCUAAUACCGGAUAAUAUAUUGAACCGCAUGGUUCAAUAGUGAAAGACGGUUUUGCUGUCACUUAUAGAUGGAUCCGCGCCGCAUUAGCUAGUUGGUAAGGUAACGGCUUACCAAGGCAACGAUGCGUAGCCGACCUGAGAGGGUGAUCGGCCACACUGGAACUGAGACACGGUCCAGACUCCUACGGGAGGCAGCAGUAGGGAAUCUUCCGCAAUGGGCGAAAGCCUGACGGAGCAACGCCGCGUGAGUGAUGAAGGUCUUCGGAUCGUAAAACUCUGUUAUUAGGGAAGAACAAAUGUGUAAGUAACUAUGCACGUCUUGACGGUACCUAAUCAGAAAGCCACGGCUAACUACGUG